UACACACCGCCCGUCACACCGCGAAAGUUUGUUGUACCUGAAGUCGUUGGCGCCAACCGCAAGGAGGCAGACGCCCACGGUAUGACCGAUGAUUGGGGUG
rnacentral:rRNA from 1 species